rnacentral:misc_RNA from 1 species
CCCCCCCCCCCCCCCUACCUGCCCCAUCCUUCUCCCUUCCCCCAGCUGAAAGAGUCGUUUUGUUUUGUAUAAGAAAAGAAUUUGUGUAUCUGUCUUUAUUGUAUUGCAUGGUCAUUUUCUCUGUUUGUUAGUUAUUAUUUCAAUGGCUGAUAUAAGAUAGUUCGUUCUUAUGAUAGUUUGUUUGCACCCUAAGAUAGUUCGUUCUUAUGACUAAGGGAUGAUGGUUUUGCUAUCUUGGCAAUGGCAAAACAGGUUGGUUACUAUUUUGCGCCAAGUGGCAAGCCUUACCCUGAUAAUUGGAUCAUAACAGAU